rnacentral:rRNA from 1 species
UACGGGGGGAGCAAGCGUUGUUCGGAUUUACUGGGCGUAAAGGGCGCGUAGGCGGCGUAACAAGUCACUUGUGAAAUCUCCGGGCUUAACUCGGAGCGGUCAAGUGAUACUGUUGUGCUAGAGUGCGGAAGGGGCUACUGGAAUUCUCGGUGUAGCGGUGAAAUGCGUAGAUAUCGAGAGGAACACCUGCGGCGAAAGCGGCGCACUGGACCACAUCUGACGCUGAGGCGCGAAAGCUAGGGGAGCAAACAGG